rnacentral:other from 1 species
GCGAAGCUGUGGGAUGCGGCAGGUUACACUUUCCCCGGGGCCUUAACGAUCCUUAGGGAGCUGUCCCUGACUGGACCCCUGGGUCCGGAUAUACGGCGCCCACCUACACUUGUAGGUUCCCGGGAUCGACAAACCACCGGUCGCUGCGGCCUCGCA